ACCACAGCUUGUCUUCAGCUCCAUCCAGUCCUCUGACUCUGGAGAGUAUUACUGUACAGCUGAGAAUCAGCUUGGGAAGAGGACAUCUGAAUACAUUGUUAUUGAUGUGAAAUAUGCUCCAAAGCUUCCCUCUGUGUCAGUGAGUCCCUCUGGUGAAAUAGUUGAGGGCACUUCAGUGACUCUGACCUGUGGCAGUAAUGCUAAACCAGCAGCUACUUAUACCUGGUACAAAGAGGACCAAACAGUGCUUCAAGGGCAACGAGGAAGUUUUCAUUUCACCUCCAUCAGCUCUGAGGACAGAGGGAUCUACUACUGCAAGUCUGAGAAUCAAUAUGGACAGAUCAACUCUUCAUUUCUAUUCAUUGACGUCCAGUAUGGUCCAAAGCUUCCCUCUGUGUCAGUGAGUCCCUCU